CCUACGGGAGGCAGCAGUGGGGGAUAUUGCACAAUGGGGGGAACCCUGAUGCAGCGACGCCGCGUGGGUGAAGAAGCGCCUCGGCGCGUAAAGCCCUGUCAGCAGGGAAGAAAAUGACGGUACCUGAAGAAGAAGCCCCGGCUAACUACGUGCCAGCAGCCGCGGUAAUACGUAGGGGGCAAGCGUUAUACGGAUGUACUGGGUGUGAAGGGGGCGCAGACGGCGAUGCAAGCCAGGAGUGAAAGCCCGGGGCCCAACCCCGGGACUGCUCUUGGAACUGCGUGGCUGGAGUGCAGGAGGGGCAGGCGGAAUUCCUGGUGUAGCGGUGACAUGCGUAGAUAUCAGGAGGAACACCGGUGGCGAAGGCGGCCUGCUGGACUGCAACUGACGUUGAGGCCCGAAAGCGUGGGGAGCAAACAGGAUUAGAUACCCCAGUAGUC
rnacentral:rRNA from 1 species